rnacentral:rRNA from 1 species
CCUACGGGUGGCAGCAGUGGGGGAUAUUGCACAAUGGAGGAAACUCUGAUGCAGCGACGCCGCGUGAGGGAAGACGGUCUUCGGAUUGUAAACCUCUGUCUUUGGGGAAGAAAAUGACGGUACCCAAAGAGGAAGCUCCGGCUAUCUACGUGCCAGCAGCCGCGGUAAUACGUAGGGAGCGAGCGUUGUCCGGAAUUACUGGGUGUAAAGGGAGCGUAGGCGGGCGAGAAAGUUGAAUGUUAAAUCUACCGGCUUAACUGGUAGCUGCGUUCAAAACUUCUUGUCUUGAGUGAAGUAGAGGCAGGCGGAAUUCCUAGUGUAGCGGUGAAAUGCGUAGAUAUCGAGAGGAACACUCGUGGCGAAGGCGGGUUCCUGGACAUUAACUGACGCUGAGGCACGAAGGCCAGGGGAGCGAAAGGGAUUAGAUACCCUUGUAGUC